rnacentral:rRNA from 1 species
GAUGAACGCUGACAGAAUGCUUAACACAUGCAAGUCAACUGUGGCGGACGGGUGAGUAACGCGUAAAGAACUUGCCUCACAGCUAGGGACAACAUUUGGAAACGAAUGCUAAUACCUGAUACUGUGAGAGAGCUUUGCGUCCCAUUAGCGAGUUGGAGAGGUAACGGCUCACCAAGGCGAUGAUGGGUAGCCGGCCUGAGAGGGUGAUCGGCCACAAGGGGACUGAGACGCGGCCCGUACGCCUACGGGAGGCAGCGGUGGGGGAUGUAGGACAAAGGACCGAAGUCUGAUGCAGCAAUUCUGUGUGCAAGAUGAAGUUUUCGGAAUGUAAAGUGCUUUCAGUUGGGAAGCGGUACCAACAGAAGAAGUGACGGCUAAAUACGUGCCAGCCGCCGCGGUAAUUC